rnacentral:tRNA from 1 species
GGGCCGUUAGCUCAGUCUGGUAGAGCAGUUGACUCUUAAUCAAUUGGCCGAAGGUUCGAAUCCUUCACGGCCCACCA